UGGGCUAUAGUGUUAGGAAUGGUGCUGGUCACAGGGUUGAUGAAGAGGGUGUUGUUUUCGCAGUGGAGGUCGUGGUGGUUGGUGAUGGUCGUAGUGGUGGUGUGGUUGAUCCUGUGGAGGAGAAGAGAAGACUUUGGUGGAUUUGGAGGCAUUUUUUUUUUUUAUACUAAUUGUAUAAUACAGAAAAAUAAUUAAAAGAAAAGAAGUAAUGAUAAGAUUUGAUGGAUCUUGUCUUGUUAUAGUUUGAGUGGUGUUAUUAGAAAGG
rnacentral:lncRNA from 1 species